rnacentral:rRNA from 1 species
GAAAGGGCGGGGUGCCUACCAUGCAAGUCGAACGGGGAUGCCAUUUUCGAGGUGAUUAGUUUACUAAGAGCCAAGAUGUUGGCAUCUUAGUGGCGGACGGGUGAGUAACGCGUGGGUAACCUGCCUUAUACAGGGGGAUAACACUUAGAAAUAGGUGCUAAUACCGCAUAAGCGCACGGGGCUGCAUGGCCCAGUGUGAAAAACUCCGGUGGUAUAAGAUGGACCCGCGUCUGAUUAGCUUGUUGGCGGGGUAACGGCCCACCAAGGCGACGAUCAGUAGCCGGCCUGAGAGGGUGGACGGCCACAUUGGGACUGAGACACGGCCCAAACUCCUACGGGAGGCAGCAGUGGGGAAUAUUGGACAAUGGGGGGAACCCUGAUCCAGCGACGCCGCGUGAGUGAAGAAGUAUUUCGGUAUGUAAAGCUCUAUCAGCAGGGAAGAAAGAAAUGACGGUACCUGACUAAGAAGCCCCGGCUAACUACGUGCCAGCAGCCGCGGUAAUACGUAGGGGGCAAGCGUUAUCCGGAUUUACUGGGUGUAAAGGGAGCGUAGACGGUUACGCAAGUCUGGAGUGAAAGGCGGGGGCCCAACCCCCGGACUGCUUUGGAAACUGUAUAACUGGAGUGCAGGAGAGGUAAGUGGAAUUCCUAGUGUAGCGGUGAAAUGCGUAGAUAUUAGGAGGAACACCAGUGGCGAAGG